rnacentral:rRNA from 1 species
AGAGUUUGAUCCUGGCUCAGGAUGAACGCUAGCGACAGGCCUAAUACAUGCAAGUCGAACGGUGAUAGCAAUAUCAUAGUGGCGCACGGGUGUGUAACACGUAUGCAACCUACCUUAUACUGAGGGAUAGCCUUUCGAAAGGGAGAUUAAUACCUCAUAACACAUUGAACUGGCAUCAGUUUAUUGUUAAAGAUUUAUUGGUAUAAGAUGGGCAUGCGUCCAAUUAGUUAGUUGGCGAGGUAACGGCUCACCAAGACGAUGAUUGGUAGGGGAACUGAGAGGUUAAUCCCCCACACUGGCACUGAGAUACGGGCCAGACUCCUACGGGAGGCAGCAGUAGGGAAUAUUGGGCAAUGGAGGCAACUCUGACCCAGCCAUGCCGCGUGCAGGAAGAAGGCGUUAUGCGUUGUAAACUGCUUUUAUAUAGGAAGAAAUAGACCUUGCGAGGUAAGUUGACGGUACUAUAUGAAUAAGCACCGGCUAACUCCGUGCCAGCAGCCGCGGUAAUACGGAGGGUGCAAGCGUUGUCCGGAUUUAUUGGGUUUAAAGGGUGCGUAGGCGGUUUAUUAAGUCAGUGGUG